rnacentral:rRNA from 1 species
UAGGGAAUUUUCGUCAAUGGGCGCAAGCCUGAACGAGCAAUGCCGCGUGAGUGAAGAAGGUUUUCGGAUCGUAAAGCUCUGUUGUUGGUGAAGAAGGAUAGAGGUAGUAACUGGCCCCUAUUUGACGGUAAUCAACCAGAAAGUCACGGCUAACUACGUGCC